AGGCAAGAUGUUGGCAUAGCUGUUGAUCUAAAAACCUGCUAUGCCAACAUAUUGUCAUC
rnacentral:pre_miRNA from 1 species